rnacentral:tRNA from 1 species
GCCGAAGUGGCGGAAUCGGCAGACGCGGCGGAUUCAAAAUCCGUUGGGGCAACCCCCCGUGAGAGUUCAAGUCUCUCCUUCGGCACCA